rnacentral:rRNA from 1 species
UACGUAGGGUGCAAGCGUUGUCCGGAAUUAUUGGGCGUAAAGAGCUCGUAGGCGGUCUGUCGCGUCGGCUGUGAAAACUCGGGGCUCAACUCCGAGCUUGCAGUCGAUACGGGCAGACUAGAGUUCGGCAGGGGAGACUGGAAUUCCUGGUGUAGCGGUGAAAUGCGCAGAUAUCAGGAGGAACACCGGUGGCGAAGGCGGGUCUCUGGGCCGAUACUGACGCUGAGGAGCGAAAGCGUGGGGAGCGAACAGG